GCCUAACACAUGCAAGUCGAGCGGUAGCAUGAGUAGUAGCAAUACUACUUGAUGACGAGCGGCGGACGGGUGAGGAACACGUAGGAACUUGCCUUUUAGAGGGGGAUAACUAAGGGAAACUUUAGCUAAUACCGCGUAAUCUCGAGAGAGUAAAGCUGCCCGCAAGGGUGGCGCUAAAAGAGAGGCCUGCGUCCGAUUAGCUAGUUGGUGAGGUAAUGGCUCACCAAGGCGAUGAUCGGUAACUGGUCUGAGAGGACGACCAGUCCGACUGGGACUGAGACACGGCCCGGACUCCUACGGGAGGCAGGAGUGGGGAAUAUUGGACAAUGGGGGCAACCCUGAUCCAGCGAUGCCGCGUGAGUGAAGAAGGCCCUCGGGUCGUAAAGCUCUUUAGGUUGGGAAGAAGGACGUUAGGUUAAUACCCUGAUGUUUUGACGGUACCGACAGAAUAAGCACCGGCAAACUCUGUGCCAGCCGCCGCAGUAA
rnacentral:rRNA from 1 species